rnacentral:antisense_RNA from 2 species
UUUUAUGGUGGCUGUGCGCAGGGCACCUUCGGGUGCGCCGGGUUCUCCAAUCGACCGGUCUGCUAACCUGCGUACAGCUGCCACCCCA